rnacentral:misc_RNA from 1 species
UGGUGAACCAGCGGAGGGAUCAUUACCGAGUUUACAACUCCCAAACCCCUGUGAACAUACCUUAACGUUGCUUCGGCGGACCACCCUCGCCUGACCGCGGGGGCCCGCCAGAGGACCCAAAACCCAAACUUAGUUUUUGUCUUGCAAAACGAACCUCUGAGUGGAUUUUAUAAAUCAAAUCAAAACUUUCAACAACGGAUCUCUUGGCUCUGG